AGCAGCGUGGUUUAGUGGAAAGAGCAUGGCCUUGGAAGUCAGAGGUUGUGGAUUCUAAUCCUGCCUCUGCCA
rfam:Ornithorhynchus anatinus chromosome X1, whole genome shotgun sequence.